UAGUGACGCGCAUGAAUGG
rnacentral:ncRNA from 3 species